UCUGCUCAGACAGGGCUGAGGUCUCUGGGAAGGCAGGUGUGGUCUAGAAGAUGAGGCUGCUGGGUCUUGUCCUGUGCCUGGUCACAGCUCCCCAAGGUGUCCUGUGUCAGGUGCAGCUGCAGGAGUCAGGACCUGGCCUGGUGAAGCCCUCACAGACCCUGUCCCUCACCUGUGCUGUCUCUGGUUACUCCAUCACCAGUGGUUACUGCUGGAGCUGGAUCCGUCACCCCCCAGGGAAGGGGCUGGAGUACAUAGGGUCCAUAAGUUAUAGUGGUAGCACUAACUACAGCCCAUCCCUCAAGAGCCGAGUGUCCAUCUCCAGAGACACGUCCAAGAACCAGUUCUCCCUGCAGCUGAGCUCCCUGACCACUGAGGACACAGCCACCUAUUACUGUGCCAGAGACACAGUGAGGGGACCUCAGUAA